GACGAACGCUGGCGGCGUGCCUAAUACAUGCAAGUCGAACGAACGGAUAAAGAGCUUGCUCUUUUGAAGUUAGUGGCGGACGGGUGAGUAACACGUGGGUAACCUGCCUCACAGCUGGGGAUAACAUCGAGAAAUGGAUGCUAAUACCGAAUGUGCUGAACAUCCUAAGAUGGUCAAGUGAAAGACGGUUUGGGCUGUCACUGUGAGAGGGACCCCGGCUGGUUUAGCUAGUUGUUAAGGUAAUGGCUUACGAAGGCGAGGAUCCAUAGCCGACCUGAGAGGCUGAUCGGCGACAUUGGGACUGAGCCACGGCCCAAACGCCUACGGGACGCAGCAGUAGGGAAUCUUCGGCAAUGGACGAAAGUCUGACCGAGCAACGCCGCGUGAGCUAAGAAGGCCUUCGGGUCGUAAAGCUCUGUUGUUAGAGAAGAACAUGGGUGGGAGUAACUGUUCACCCCUUGACGGUAACUAACCAGAAAGCCACGGCUAACUACGUG
rnacentral:rRNA from 1 species